rnacentral:rRNA from 2 species
CCGGGCACAAGCGGUCGAGCAUGUGGUUUAAUUCGAAGCAACGCGAAGAACCUCACAAAGCCUUCAAAACAUAGCACAACCCUAAAGAUAGGGCUUUCCCCUUCGGGGGACAGAGUGACAGGUGGUGCAUGGUUGUCGUCAGCUCGUGUCGUGAGAUGUUGGGUUAAGUCCCGCAACGAGCGCAACCCUUGAUCUUAGUUGCCAGCAUUCAGUUGGGCACUCUAAGAUGACUGCCGGUGACAAACCGGAGGAAGGUGGGGAUGACGUCAAAUCAUCAUGCCCCUUAUGACCUGGGCUACACACGUGCUACAAUGGACGGUACAAAGGGCAGCGAGACCGCGAGGUUUAGCCAAUCCCAUAAAACCGUUCUCAGUUCGGAUUGCAGGCUGCAACUCGCAUCCAUGAAGCGCCAAUCGCUAGUAAUCGCGGAUCAGCAUGCCGCGGUGAAUACGUUCCCGGGCA